GAUGAACGCUAGCGGGAGGCUUAAUACAUGCAAGUCGAGGGGUAACAGGGGCUUCGGCCCGCUGACGACCGGCGCACGGGUGAGUAACGCGUACGCAACUUACCUCCAAGCGAGGGAUAGCCCUGGGAAACUGGGAUUAAUACCUCAUGUGAUUAUGAUGCCGCAUGGUGUUAUAAUUAAAGUUCAGGCGCUUGGAGAUGGGCGUGCGUCCUAUUAGCUAGUUGGUGAGGUAACGGCUCACCAAGGCGACGAUAGGUAGGGGGCGUGAGAGCGUGGCCCCCCACACGGGUACUGAGACACGGACCCGACUCCUACGGGAGGCAGCAGUAAGGAAUAUUGGACAAUGGGCGCAAGCCUGAUCCAGCCAUCCCGCGUGCAGGAUGACAG
rnacentral:rRNA from 1 species